rnacentral:sRNA from 1 species
UAAGACAAGAAACACAAGAAUGGAAUCAACAGUUCUGGGCAAACCAGAAUUUGACUUUUAGUAAGGAAAAAGAAGAAUUUAUUCACUCAAGACUAAAAACUAAAGGCCUGGGCCUGAGAACUGAAUCAGGUCAGAAAGCAACAUUGAAUGCAGAAGAAAUGGCGGACUUUUACAAGGAAUUUUUAAGUAAAAAUUUUCAGAAGCACAUGUAUUAUAACAGAACUGAGAGAGAGAAUAAAACCCUGUUGUCCUGAGCCCCCAGCAUGUGGUGCAGCAGCCACAGGAAACACGUGCUUUCCAGAAUGACAGCUGGUGUCCGCAAGAACAGCAGGAACUCAUCAGCAUUUGGAAGUGAGACUGGGUGGAUGUGCAGUCCCGGAAAAGGAGACGGAGAUUUAUGUCUGGUGGCGGGGAGCCUGUGUGUUCAGCAGCUUCCGGAAGGAAUCAAUAGAUGGAAGCUGCUGGAGGCGUUGCUGACAGCCUCUCCUUGAGGCCAGACUCCAGAGCCGAAACCUGGUAGAAGCCUUAGUCUCCU